ACGACCAGGCCGGACCUCAGAAGGUGCGGGCCGGCAGCGGCGCGAGUGGCUCGGGAGCGCGGCUGACCCCCAGGCUGUGGUGAGGGUCCGGGAGCUGGCACCACGGAGCCUGGGCAACCUCCUCUGCCCACCCAUGCCCACCCCGCAUGAGGCUGAGAAACAGCACACAGGGCCCGAGGAGGCAGACCGGCCCCCCUCAAUGACUAGCCAUGAUGUGGCCCCCCAGGUGGCCCCUGGCCGCGACCCCUGCUGCCUGUGCUGGUGUUGCUGCUGCAGCUGCUCCUGGAAUGAAGAGCGGCGGCGGCGAGUGUGGCAGGCCUCCCGGGAUAGCAAGCUGCAGCCCCUCCCCAGCUGUGAAGUGUGUGCCACACUGAGCCCUGAGGAGGUACAGAGCUGGGCCCAGUCCUUCGACAAGCUGAUGCACAGUCCAGCAGGGCGCAGUGUGUUCCGGGCCUUCCUGCGCACAGAGUAUAAUGAGGAAAACAUGCUCUUCUGGCUGGCGUGCGAGGAUUUGAAAGCCAAGGCCAACCAGCACGUGGUGGACGAGAAGGCACGGCUCAUCUACGAGGACUAUGUAUCCAUCCUGUCCCCCAAGGAGGUGAGCCUGGACUCCCGCGUGCAGAGGGCAUCAACAAGAAGAUGCAGGAGCCAUCCGCGCACACGUUUGACGAUGCGCAGCUGCAGAUCUACACACUCAUGCACCGGGAUUCCUACCCUCGCUUCCUCAGCUCUCCCACCUACUGUGCCCUGCUGCUCCGGGGAGCCUCACAGUCUUCCUCCGAGUCCUAGGUGGCCCCUGUGACAGACACUAGGCCCCUUAGGGGCAGACUCUGGGCUACUCCAUGUGUGCGUGCCAGUGGGGGUAUCAGGGCACACCAAGGGGCAGUCCCAGCCCCAGAGGGAAACGCUGCAUCCCCUGGCUCUGCCCUCAGCCCAGUGGGAGCUUCAGGUACAAGGUGGCCAGAAGUUCCUCAAGGCUGCUCAGUGCUCUGCAUGUUGGGAGGGGCUUCAUGGGAAGCCUCGACCUGCAAGCCUCAUGGGCACCUCUGUCCCACACAGCUGGCAGCGAAGAUUUUGCCUUUCUUUGGUGCAGAGCAGGACCUUCACGUUACCCAGUUUUGUAACAUGAGCCCUCUGCACCCCAGAGUCAGACCCAGAACUUCAGAACCCGAUGUGAAACCUCAUAAUCAGGCUCAAGGUGACAGGACCCAAUUUCUACAAGUAUUUUAUAUGUUCAUGAACUUCAAACCUGGAAAUAUGUCCU